GGGUUGUGAGGUUAAGCGACUAAGCGUACACGGUGGAUGCCCUGGCAGUCAGAGGCGAUGAAGGACGUGCUAAUCUGCGAAAAGCGUCGGUAAGGUGAUAUGAACCGUUAUAACCGGCGAUGUCCGAAUGGGGAAACCCAGUGUGAUUCGUCACACUAUCGUUAACUGAAUACAUAGGUUAACGAGGCGAACCGGGGGAACUGAAACAUCUAAGUACCCCGAGGAAAAGAAAUCAACCGAGAUUCCCCCAGUAGCGGCGAGCGAACGGGGAGCAGCCCAGAGUCUGAAUCAGCUUGUGUGUUAGUGGAACGGUCUGGAAAGUCCGACGGUACAGGGUGAUAGUCCCGUACACCAAAAUGCACAGGCUGUGAACUCGAAGAGUAGGGCGGGACACGUGGUAUCCUGUCUGAAUAUGGGGGGACCAUCCUCCAAGGCUAAAUACUCCUGACUGACCGAUAGUGAACCAGUACCGUGAGGGAAAGGCGAAAAGAACCCCGGCGAGGGGAGUGAAAAAGAACCUGAAACCGUGUACGUACAAGCAGUGGGAGCACCUUCGGGUGUGACUGCGUACCUUUUGUAUAAUGGGUCAGCGACUUAUAUUCUGUAGCAAGGUUAACCGUAUAGGGGAGCCGCAGGGAAACCGAGUCUUAACUGGGCGUUAAGUUGCAGGGUAUAGACCCGAAACCCGGUGAUCUAGCCAUGGGCAGGUUGAAGGUUGGGUAACACUAACUGGAGGACCGAACCGACUAAUGUUGAAAAAUUAGCGGAUGACUUGUGGCUGGGGGUGAAAGGCCAAUCAAACCGGGAGAUAGCUGGUUCUCCCCGAAAGCUAUUUAGGUAGCGCCUCGUGAAUUCAUCUUCGGGGGUAGAGCACUGUUUCGGCUAGGGGGUCAUCCCGACUUACCAACCCGAUGCAAACUACGAAUACCGAAGAAUGUUAUCACGGGAGACACACGGCGGGUGCUAACGUCCGUCGUGAAGAGGGAAACAACCCAGACCGCCAGCUAAGGUCCCAAAGUCAUGGUUAAGUGGGAAACGAUGUGGGAAGGCACAGACAGCCAGGAUGUUGGCUUAGAAGCAGCCAUCAUUUAAAGAAAGCGUAAUAGCUCACUGGUCGAGUCGGCCUGCGCGGAAGAUGUAACGGGGCUAAACCAUGCACCGAAGCUGCGGCAGCGACACUAUGUGUUGUUGGGUAGGGGAGCGUUCUGUAAGCCUGCGAAGGUGUGCUGUGAGGCAUGCUGGAGGUAUCAGAAGUGCGAAUGCUGACAUAAGUAACGAUAAAGCGGGUGAAAAGCCCGCUCGCCGGAAGACCAAGGGUUCCUGUCCAACGUUAAUCGGGGCAGGGUGAGUCGACCCCUAAGGCGAGGCCGAAAGGCGUAGUCGAUGGGAAACAGGUUAAUAUUCCUGUACUUGGUGUUACUGCGAAGGGGGACGGAGAAGGCUAUGUUAGCCGGGCGACGGUUGUCCCGGUUUAAGCAUGUAGGCUGGUUGUCCAGGCAAAUCCGGAUAAUCAAGGCUGAGGUGUGAUGACGAGGCACUACGGUGCUGAAGUAACAAAUGCCCUGCUUCCAGGAAAAGCCUCUAAGCAUCAGGUAACAUCAAAUCGUACCCCAAACCGACACAGGUGGUCAGGUAGAGAAUACCAAGGCGCUUGAGAGAACUCGGGUGAAGGAACUAGGCAAAAUGGUGCCGUAACUUCGGGAGAAGGCACGCUGGUGUGUAGGUGAAGUCCCUGCGGAUGGAGCUGAGACCAGUCGAAGAUACCAGCUGGCUGCAACUGUUUAUUAAAAACACAGCACUGUGCAAACACGAAAGUGGACGUAUACGGUGUGACGCCUGCCCGGUGCCGGAAGGUUAAUUGAUGGGGUUAUCCGUAAGGAGAAGCUCUUGAUCGAAGCCCCGGUAAACGGCGGCCGUAACUAUAACGGUCCUAAGGUAGCGAAAUUCCUUGUCGGGUAAGUUCCGACCUGCACGAAUGGCGUAAUGAUGGCCAGGCUGUCUCCACCCGAGACUCAGUGAAAUUGAACUCGCUGUGAAGAUGCAGUGUACCCGCGGCAAGACGGAAAGACCCCGUGAACCUUUACUAUAGCUUGACACUGAACAUUGAGCCUUGAUGUGUAGGAUAGGUGGGAGGCUUUGAAGCGUGGACGCCAGUCUGCGUGGAGCCAACCUUGAAAUACCACCCUUUAAUGUUUGAUGUUCUAACGUUGGCCCCUUACCGGGGUUGCGGACAGUGUCUGGUGGGUAGUUUGACUGGGGCGGUCUCCUCCCAAAGCGUAACGGAGGAGCACGAAGGUUAGCUAAUCCUGGUCGGACAUCAGGAGGUUAGUGCAAUGGCAUAAGCUAGCUUGACUGCGAGCGUGACGGCGCGAGCAGGUGCGAAAGCAGGUCAUAGUGAUCCGGUGGUUCUGAAUGGAAGGGCCAUCGCUCAACGGAUAAAAGGUACUCCGGGGAUAACAGGCUGAUACCGCCCAAGAGUUCAUAUCGACGGCGGUGUUUGGCACCUCGAUGUCGGCUCAUCACAUCCUGGGGCUGAAGUAGGUCCCAAGGGUAUGGCUGUUCGCCAUUUAAAGUGGUACGCGAGCUGGGUUUAGAACGUCGUGAGACAGUUCGGUCCCUAUCUGCCGUGGGCGCUGGAGAAUUGAGGGGGGCUGCUCCUAGUACGAGAGGACCGGAGUGGACGCAUCACUGGUGUUCGGGUUGUCAUGCCAAUGGCACUGCCCGGUAGCUAAAUGCGGAAGAGAUAAGUGCUGAAAGCAUCUAAGCACGAAACUUGCCCCGAGAUGAGUUCUCCCUGAGACUUUAAGUCUCCUGAAGGAACGUUGAAGACGACGACGUUGAUAGGCCGGGUGUGUAAGCGCAGCGAUGCGUUGAGCUAACCGGUACUAAUGAACCGUGAGGCUUAACCUUACAACGCCGAAG
rnacentral:rRNA from 1 species